ensembl:lncRNA
UAGCUGCAAUCAGGUCAGUGCAGAGAGACAAGCUAGCUGCAAUCAGGUCAGUGCAGAGAGACAAGCUAGCUGCAAUCAGGUCAGUGCAGAGAGACAAGCUAGCUGCAAUCAGGUCAGUGUGGGACAAGUGGGUGGACCGCCUUCCCCCGUUUCACAACCCUAGGCCCAGCGUUACUGUUGAUGAGCAGCUUAUGCCAUUUAGGGGCUGCUGCCCAUUCAGACAGUACAUACCGUCUAAACCUGCAAAAUAUGGAAACUAGAUCUGGGCUGCUGUGAUGCUGCGUCAUCAUAUGUGUGAAAGUUGCAAGUGUAUACAGAGAAGCCAGAUGGAGGAGCCCUGAGAAGAACCAAGGGAUGGAGGAGCCCUGAGAAGAACCAAGGGAUGGAGGAGCCCUGAGAAGAACCAAGGGAUGGAGAAGCCCUGAGAAGAACCAAGGGAUGGAGGAGCCCUGAGAAGAACCAAGGGAUGGAGGAGCCCUGAGAAGAACCAAGGGAUGGAGGAGCCCUGAGAAGAACCAAGGGAUGGAGGAGCCCUGAGAAGAACCAAGGGAUGGAGAAGCCCUGAGAAGAACCAUGGGAUGGAGGAGCCCUGAGAAGAACCAAGAGAUGGAGGAGCCCUGAGAAGAACCAAGGGAUGGAGAAGCCCUGAGAAGAAACAUGGGAUGGAGGAGCCCUGAGAAGAACCAAGGGAUGGAGAAGCCCUGAGAAGAACCAUGGGAUGGAGGAGUCCUGAGAAGAACCAAGAGAUGGAGGAGCCCUGAGAAGAACCAAGGGAUGGAGAAGCCCUGAGAAGAACCAAGGGAUGGAGGAGCCCUGAGAAGAACCAAGGGAUGGAGAAGCCCUGAGAAGAACCAUGGGAUGGAGGAGCCCUGAGAAGAACCAAGGGAAGAAGGAGCCCUGAGAAGAACCAAGGGAUGGAGGAGCCCUGAGAAGAACCAAGGGAUGGAGGAGCCCUGAGAAGAACCAAGGGGUAGGGGAGACCUGAGAAGAACCAAGGGAAGGAGGAGCCCUGAGAAGAACCAAGGGAUGGAGGAGCCCUGAGAAGAACCAAGGGAUGCGGGAUGUCCUGGACAUGACACAGGGACUCCGUGGCCACAUCACAUGCAAAAACUUUGAGUACGCUGCAUAGGGAUGGGAGAAUCUGUGGCCAAGAACAUCAAAAAACAAAUCAUAAUGGAUUACAAUGCCACAAAAGGAGGGGUGGACAAUUUAGACAAGCUGGUGACUGGCUACAGUUGCUAAGUAAGAACCCUGCUGGCCACUUGUGAUAUUUUCCAACACAUUGGACAUCUCAAUAUACACCUUGUUUGUCAUCUGGAUGGCUUUGUACCCAGAUUGGAACAGAGGGAAGCUCCAGAGGAGAUGACUCUUUCGCGGGAAGCUUGGCAAGGCAUUGGUAAGACCUCAAAUCCAGAGGAGUCAACAUAUCCCAAGGACCCCAGCUUCUGCAGCCAUCGUGAGGAGGAUUCAGGAGGAGGAUGCUGGUGCCCCAUCCGCCCGACCCACAGAACCACCAACUCCAAUACCAGAAAUUGCAGCCGGGAGCAACAAGAGGAAGUGAUGCGAUGUGUGUGGACCCAAGAAGGACAGGAAGACACAGAACACAUAAAGUGCAAGAAAUACAUUUGCACCACACACAGUAAAACUCUGUCC